GCAGUUCUGACCUGGUUUCUCACUGAAGAUAAGCAGGAUUGAGCCUGGUCAGUACCUGGAUGGGAGACCUCUUGGGGAAAAUUAAGAUUCCUGCU
rnacentral:rRNA from 1 species